GGGCAGCAGUUGGGAUCUGUGACAAGGGGGGCUGAGAAAAUUCGAUAAAGCUCCGGACUAAUUUUCUCGGACGUGAAGCCCAUGAGAGAUGCACGCGCUGCACUUUGGUCAUCAGCAUAAUGUAUUCAUCCGCGAUGACGGAGCGCCACUUGCGCAAGUGACAAAGGAUUGGGUGGGCACUGUCAACCGAAGGAAGAAGCAAGGAACUUAUUUCACGUUGUCGGCAUUUGAGGAGUAAAUCUUAUCUCGAUCUCACCACAAUGACCCUUCUUGUGACAGUAUUUCUGCUUCUAUGCCUGGAGGUGUUUCUCGUCCUCUGUCAGAACAGCACAAAUGAGACGACUACUAACGGUUCUGACGGCCCCACUGAUGGCGCUCACAGUGUCGUAUUUACAGGAGUUGUCAUAGUAACGGCGACAAUACUUGCUCGCAUCGUCAAUUAAGAGUGCUUACAAGGGGCCUGUUGUGGAAGAAUGCGGCUGCCAUCUUGCUGUUCCAUCCACUGCCACUCCCCUGCCAUCCGGGUCCUACUUGCUCUUCUAGUGACCACUGACAUUCUUGCUUCUCUCAUUUCGGUAUAAAAAUUGAAACAUAACUCAUUUCCAUAUUUGGUAGUCGUUCAAUGUAAGAAAACUAUCUGUAGCCAAUCAUUCAUCAGUAUGCAAAUUGCGUCUCCUUUGUACAAGUAAUGUGAUGUGUUUCAGUUUUAUUUGUAUGUAUACAUUUGCCGCAUCCCAUAAUUAUCUGGAAUAAAACAUUCUAUUUGUA